GACGAACGCUGGCGGCGUGCCUAAUACAUGCAAGUAGAACGCUGAAGCGAGGAGCUUACUCUUCUUGGAUGAGUUGCGAACGGGUGAGUAACGCGUAGGUAACCUGCCUUGUAGCGGGGGAUAACUAUUGGAAACGAUAGCUAAUACCGCAUAACAAUGGAUGACACAUGUCAUUUAUUUGAAAGGGGCAAUUGCUCCACUACAAGAUGGACCUGCAUUGUAUUAGCUAGUAGGUGAGGUAAUGGCUCACCUAGGCGACGAUACAUAGCCGACCUGAGAGGGUGAUCGGCCACACUGGGACUGAGACACGGCCCAGACUCCUACGGGAGGCAGCAGUAGGGAAUCUUCGGCAAUGGGGGCAACCCUGACCGAGCAACGCCGCGUGAGUGAAGAAGGUUUUCGGAUCGUAAAGCUCUGUUGUAAGUCAAGAACGGGUGUGAGAGUGGAAAGUUCACACUGUGACGGUAGCAUACCAGAAAGGGACGGCUAACUACGUG
rnacentral:rRNA from 1 species